UGUAAAGAUCCAACUAAAAUAUCUAAAGACAACCUAAAAAACGGGAAAGUUCAUGGAGUUCAUUCACUGCAGCUCGCGCUUCUUCAGCAACCAGGGAGGAGGCUUCCUUCUUCCUUCGAAGAUGUGCUCGUUGCGAGCUCACCAAAAGUGCCAAGUCACGGUCGCUGCCAGCUCUGUCUUCUUAUGACCGUUUCUAUUUCUGCAAAGAUCAUCCAUUAAUCGAAGCCACCAUUUCCAUGGAUCGUCGUUCUGCGGUAGGGCUGGGAGCUGGGCUGCUUGCCAUGCUUCUUGCGUAUCCGGGCACGACCAUAGACAAUAGAAGGUGGAUUCAACUUCUUUAUCACAGCAAUGGCAGAUUGGAGAGAUAGUGAGAAUUCUGGAAUUUAGCAUCUGCUUCACAGCUGUUUGUUCCUGCAUUAUUCUAGCAAAAAUUCAACUGGUGGCUGGAAUAAUUGAAAUGCUACUCGGUACCCAGAGGCUACUAUAUACGAUUCCUUCUUCUCUUUCAUCCAAGUAAUCUCAUCCUCUUCUUGAAUUGGUGUAUUAAGAAUUGCUGUGGCUAUUUAAGAGUUGUAUACUUCUAUGAUCAGUGCUUGAUUCCAAGUUCUGUUUGGUAACAUGAGGUUAGAGACCUAUAUUGGGUUGCGCUCUAGAGUAGAAUUAUUGAUAGGUGUUAUAGCCAUACACUCCUUCACCCAUGAGUCCUCCUUAAUGCUGAUUGAAAUACAUCUGCCUACUUUCCAU